GUGUUAUAAAGAAAGGCAGAGGGAUUAGACCCGAUGAAGCCUUAGCAACCCUUUACUUUUAAAGAAGGUGCUAAAUUCUACCAAAUUGGAUAGAUAACAG
rnacentral:ncRNA from 2 species